CGGAGAAGAAGCCACGGCAGCAUGUACUAAAAAGAAAAAAAAAAAAAAAUCUUUAUUGUUAUUGCUGAAAGUUAGACAGAUCAUUGCUGUAAUCAGAGCACUGAGAUUCUUCAUUUGGUUUAGCAGAGAGGGAAUGUAAAAAAUUGUGAUUAAAAAAAAAAUGUUCCUGU